rnacentral:rRNA from 1 species
GUCCACGCUGUAAACGAUGGGUGCUAGGUGUGGGAGGUGUCGACUCCUUCCGUGCCGAAGCUAACGCAUUAAGCACCCCGCCUGGGGAGUACGGCCGCAAGGCUAAAACUCAAAGGAAUUGACGGGGGCCCGCACAAGCAGCGGAGCAUGUGGUUUAAUUCGACGCAACGCGAAGAACCUUACCAGGGCUUGACAUGCACGGGAAUGUCGGAGAAAUUCGGCAGCCCCUCGGGGCUCGUGCACAGGUGGUGCAUGGCUGUCGU